GACUACCCGGGUAUCUAAUCCUGUUUGCUCCCCACGCUUUCGCACCUCAGCGUCAGUAUCGGGCCAGUGAGCCGCCUUCGCCACUGGUGUUCUUGCGAAUAUCUACGAAUUUCACCUCUACACUCGGAGUUCCACUCACCUCUCCCGAACUCGAGAUCCCCAGUAUCAAAGGCAGUUCCAAGGUUGAGCCUUGGGAUUUCACCUCUGACUUAAAGAUCCGCCUACGUGCGCUUUACGCCCAGUAAAUCCGAACAACGCUAGCCCCCUUCGUAUUACCGCGGCUGCUGGCACGAAGUUAGCCGGGGCUUAUUCUUCCGGUACCGUCAUUAUCUUCCCGGACAAAAGAGCUUUACAACCCUAAGGCCUUCAUCACUCACGCGGCAUGGCUGGAUCAGGCUUUCGCCCAUUGUCCAAUAUUCCCCACUGCAGCCCCCCGUAGG
rnacentral:rRNA from 1 species